GGGGGCGCAGCUCAUAUGGCAGAGCGCUCGCUUAGGAUGCAAGAGGUACGGGGAUCGAUACUCCACGCCUCCA